UAUUCUGUAGGUGAACCUGCGGAGGGAACAAUACCGAGUUAACAACUCCCAAACCCCAAUGUGAACGUUACCAAUCUGUUGCCUCGGCGGGAUUCUCUGCCCCGGGCGCGUCGCAGCCCCGGAUCCCAUGGCGCCCGCCGGAGGACCAACUCUAACUCUUUUUUCUCUCCGUCGCGGCUUCCGUCGCGGCUCUGUUUUACCUUUGCUCUGAGCCUUUCUCGGCGACCCUAGCGGGCGUCUCGAAAAUGAAUCAAAACUUUCAACAACGGAUCUCUUGGUUCUGGCAUCGAUGAAGAACGCAGCGAAAUGCGAUAAGUAAUGUGAAUUGCAGAAUUCAGUGAAUGAUCGAAUCUUUGAACGCACAUUGCGCCCGCCAGUAUUCUGGCGGGCAUGCCUGUCCGAGCGACAUUUCAACCCUCGAACCCCUCCGGGGGGUCGGCGUUGGGGAUCGGCCCCUCUCCGGGCCGCCCCCGAAAUACAGUGGCGGUCUCGCCGCAGCCUCUCCUGCGCAGUAGUUUGCACACUCGCACCGGGAGCGCGGCGCGGCCACAGCCGUAAAACACCCCAAACUCUGAAAUGUUGACCUCGGAUCAGGUAGGAAUACCCGCUGAACUUAAGCAUAUCAAUAAGCCGGAGGAA
rnacentral:rRNA from 1 species